GGGGCUAUAGUGUAGUCAGGCCAACACGUCGCACUGUCACUGCGAAGAGCGCUGGGUUCGAAUCCCGCUAGUCCCG
rnacentral:tRNA from 1 species